AUGGCUCAUACCAGAUAGUCAGUAUACAGUUGAUAUUAUUAACAUAAACAUCAGUUAUAAUUUAAAAUUAUUUUGUAUAAAUAUAUCCUCUAAAAAUUUUUUAAACUAUCAUGCCUCAAGUCAAAUGAUGCAAAAGGAGGUUAACGAACUAUUAAAACAUCGUUUUGCUGCUAUUUCCUGGAGAAAAUAUGACUUAAUUAGUCAGACUGAAAUGGAUUAUUUUAAAGUGUAAGUAAUUUGCAGGUAUUAAUAGCUAGCAUUGCCCCUAGUAUGGUCCAGAUGGUCUUAUCAGGUCUUAUUGGGUUUCUUGUGCAUUAAAAAACAGAGUUUAAUGAGGCAAUCGUACCCUAAAGCAGGUUUGCAAUAAAUUCAACAAAUAUACUGGCACCUCUCCAAGUGUGUAAUAAACAACCUCCUCUGCUCCUUGCGGCAAAAGAAAAUACUCUUGACUCCAGAGCAUCACUUGCCUUCAGUGAACAGGGCUGUUGUAAAAAUGCUUUAGAGAGCAAAUGCCUUUAAAGAACUCAAAGACUUGGACAUUAUCAUUUCCAUUUGGUGACAGAAGGUCCAAAGAAGCAUCUUUCCUCACCUAUACGUAUCACUGAGUUGUGAGAGGAAAUGAAGAACAGACAUCGGUGGGGAGACAGAAGGAAAUGUUAGCAAGUGGAGGGGUUUUAUGAAGUCAGGAGGUAAAGAGAGAAAGAGAGAGAGAGGAAAAAGGAGGAGGACAAGGAGGAGAAAAAAUGAAGAAGAAGAAAGAAGGGAGAGAGGGAGGGUGGAUAGAGAAAUGCCCUCUCUUGGUUCUCAAUGUCUCAUCCACCUCCCUCAUCCAAACCACAGACUAAAGCAGGCAAGGAAGUGGCUCCACCUUCUCCAUUCCUUCAGAGGUCUGAAAUAUAUCAAUUAUGUCCAGCAGGGUGAUUAUUUUUUAAACCUAACAUAAGUAAGCCUUUCUGUUCUACUAGACUGUGCUCCUUAAGGGUGUAGAACAUGGCUCAUUCUUCUUUGCAUCA
rnacentral:lncRNA from 10 species